CAUAAACCAAAACAUGUAACAAUUACAAAAAUUACCCUCCAUUUUAAAGAAUACAAAGAUAUACUAAGUACAACAUAAACCAAUGCCAUAAUCAUAACCCAAAUUUUUAUUCCAUCAACAUAUGUGAAGAAAAGAUACUAUGGAUUUUGUUCACCUGUAGCAUACGGGUGUUGAUUAUUACAUUCUCCUCUACGGCUUAAGCGAAAAGAGAGGCCGUUGAAGCUCGGUAUCCAUUAUUACCCUACCUUCACUUCAUCACUAAUCAAUAACUUCAAAAAAAUGUAGAUUAAGAUCAGACCAGGAAAGUAUUAAAUCCACCUAAAAAAUUGAAACUUCAACAAAAAGUAUCAGAAAUUAGGAUUCUUGGCAGAACAUAAAGAAACAACAAGAAGAACGACUUUUGAGUGCAAAAAAUCAAGUAACGAAAAUAUUAAUACCUACCCAUGUCAGAGAAAUUCAUAAGCAUAAACAUAAACAUAAACAUAGAAGACCUAAGAGCUUGCCGACUCUUGAGCAGGGAUUUAAAUAGCGGUCCGUUACCGAAAUAGCGGCCGUUAUAUAGCGGUAACGGCACCGUCCGAAACCGCUACUGCCGAAACCCGCUAUACCCGCAAUACACAAUAAGUAAUGUAAAAUUCACGACCGCGAUACCUGCAAUGACCGCAAUAGCAUCCGUUAUAUCCGCAACCGCGAUAAACGCAAUGCGACCGAAAACGCGACCGCGACCGCAAUUUAAAUCCCUGCUCUUGAGAAAACAAAGGACUCUAAUAGGGUAUUGUACUAUUGGGAGCAAGCUCAUCGUCUACAUGCAAGUGAGGUACUAUAGCAGGCAAAAUUGAACUGGAGUACAGGAAAGGGAGCUAAUACAAAAAAUCUAGGCAAUCGAAGUUGGAGAAUGGUGAAACAGAAACAAGUCAUGCAAAGGAAAAGGGUCGUGAAGAUGCAUAUAUUCCCUCCACAAAAAGAGGGGAAUAGUGAAACUAAAGAAGUUGAACUUAAACAUUUGUUCCUUCAGGGAUCGAGUAAGGGAAGAACAGAUGCUUACUAAAAGCUCAUAAUUGACAGAACAGAAUACGGGUACUGUGAUAGCUGCUGUUAAGCCCUUGCUUUCUGUGGAGCCUCUGAUGGCGUUACACUUAAUUUUAUUGAAGGUAGACGGACGUUGAAA
rnacentral:lncRNA from 1 species